rnacentral:tRNA from 1 species
GCUCUAGCUCAGUCAGUAGAGCAUGAGACUGUUAAUCUUAGGGUUGUGGGUUUGAGCCCUAUGUUGGGCA